UAUAUUGAGUAGUCUCUGCUCCAUGGUUUAUAUAGCCGCAGUAUCUUGACUGUGCUAAGGUAGCAUAAUAAUUUGUCUUUUAAUUGAAGGCUAGAAUGAAAGAGCUGACGACUCCCCCUCUUUCUUAACUUACAGGUGGAACUUGAUAUUUGCCUUAAAAAGUGCAACUCUCUAGGGGGACGAUAAGACCCUAUGAAACUUUGAUUUAUUUUAUCUUAAUGUAUUUAGGAGCUUUAGGGUGUGUUAAAUUAAGCUGGGGCGGUAGCUAGGAUACACUAGCAGAUGUAACGAGAUUACUGAGGACAUAGAUCUUACAAAGAAAGAGGUAGAAUAAGUUACUCUAGGGAUAACAGCACGAUUUUUUUAUAUAGUUCAGAUAGAAUAAAAAGACUUGUGACCUCGAUGUUGAAUUGGGGGGCCCUAUUAAAGCAGAAAUUAAUGAGGGGGGUCUGUUCGACCUUUAUUUCCCC
rnacentral:rRNA from 4 species